rnacentral:misc_RNA from 1 species
CCCUUGUGGAGGAGGACGCCGAAGGUGGGGCUAAUGACUGGGGUGAAGUCGUAACAAGGUAGCCGUACCGGAAGGUGCGGCUGGAUCACCUCCUAACAGGGAGACAACAAAAUGUUUAAUAUUAUUAUUUUGUCACCUUAGGUCGAUCGGUAUCUCACGUUCUUAAUUUAUUAAGAAUUUCAUUUCCUAAGUUUUUCUAGGUCACACCCAUUAUUUUCCUGGGCCAUUAGCUCAGGUGGUUAGAGCGCACCCCUGAUAAGGGUGAGGUCCCUGGUUCAAGUCCAGGAUGGCCCAUAUCUCUAUGUUGGGGGUAUAGCUCAGUUGGUAGAGCGCCUGCUUUGCAAGCAGGAUGUCAGCGGUUCGAGUCCGCUUACCUCCACUGAUCACCACCUCUUCCAUAAUCGAUAGAAAGGAAAUGUUUUGAGUUGUGAUCUAAUUCUGAACGAAUCUAGCUUCCUAAUCAAAUUAUUAAGAUGCUGGACUCAUUGAAUUAAUUUCAUUGUUUUCAGAGAACCUUGACAACUGCAUAGAUUAUUUUUUAAAGACAAUAAGCAUCUUUUAAUGAUGCAGAUUUAUUAUUUGUGCGAAUGCAUUAAUAACAAUUCUAUUAAGCUGAUGCUUCAAUUUUGAAGUUAUUGGUCAAGCUACAAAGGGCUCACGGAGGAUACCUAGGCA